CUAAUCUAAUGACUAAAAAGCAUAACAUUCAACUGAUAGAACUAUAUUCGAAUUUCACUCUUUUAAUUUCUUGCUAAAAAAAAAUAAAAAUCUCUCUGCAUCCAUUUUACCUAUUGGCUGUAACCCAUAACUUGAAUGGCUCAUGGAAAACAACAUGUAGUGGGGAAAUGUACUCACCAUUCUUAGGUAGGUCUAGGGGAGCAUCAAGCUUCAUAGUAGAAUUAAUAGCUAUGUAUAUUUAUAUAUAUAUGAAGUGAUCUCCGCAGAUUUGGUUUUGUAAUAAUUUGAG
rnacentral:misc_RNA from 1 species